UUUCAUGUUCUUUAGACCGGUUUUUCUCAGAAUAAUGUCUACAUACAUACCUCUUCUAAUGUGUGACAUGAAUUUAAUAUCUUUCUGUUACCCACUGUGAAUGUUAGGCUGUUUUCAAAUUAUCCACAAAUUAUUCUUGUAAUCACCCAAUAUUUUUAUGUGGGUCCUCUCUUACCCAUUAUGGAUUAAGAUAGUUUAACAAAUUUAACAAUGAGGAUUAAAUGAGAAGGCAAACUGUUAACUUCUCAGCUGUCAGAAUUUGGGUGGAAGGGAAUAAUGGAAGCCUCUUUUGUGAUCUGCCUGACCUGCUGUCAUGUAUGGUACUGGGGCUGCUACAUCUUGAGCUAUCAGGGCUGACCUGUGGAAUGAUUCUAGCACUUGCUCUGCCACCUUGCCAGAAGUUCGUUUCCUGCUUUUUACACAUGUGUAGCACUUCUCUGCUAAAAUUGAAUGGUUUUAAACUAAUGUAUUUUUAGCUUAAGAGGUGUUGGUCAGUUAAUUAUUGAAUUUUUUUUUUUUCUUUUUUAAUUCUGUCUUGCCAAGGCCUCUCUGGGUUUCAGGGCCCAAGAGAAAACAGUGGAAGAAAGGAUUCAGAAUUUGGGCAAGGGUGAAGUAACUGUUCAUGCAAGUUAAAAAUACCUAAGUAAAGUUUUUGAAGAUAAAAUUGUGGUUUCAGAAUAAUGCUGAUUGUUGGAGACUGUAAGAAUCAGGUGCACUUGAUUUUGCAUAUAAGCAAAUGGUAAAUCUAUCAGAAUCCUAAAACAGACAAGCAUGAACUCUUCCCAUUGCUGGAACUAAGUGCCCACAGUGUCAGACAAAAUGGACAUUGAACUUGGAUUCUGUGAUACACAGGGCACUUGAUGCUUAAAUGAAGAUGGAAAGGUUAGCAAUACCUGGGUGUCAGUUAGAAUUUGAGAAUUCUAUAUGUUUACAUAUUUAAAUGUGCAUCUUGAUCUGGUGGGCUUCCCAUGUGGAGACUUGCACUCUAAUUAACUAAGAAGAAUAUUGCCUUGUUGGAUCUCAGUCCACGUGCUUGCACUGCGAUGGCAAUGGCCUCUUCUUCAAAAUACUAAUUUGUGUGCCAAUUUGUUUAAAAUUAUUUGAAGGCAGUUCAGCCUAAUCUCAGUGUUCUCUUUCUGGGGUAGAUGAGAUGGAUUCUUAAUAUUUCUGGGAGUACUUUUUAAUGAGAGAAUUGUCAAAUUUGGAAAGAUUUAUUGAGCCUUAGGUUACAUGGACAGUUAAGCUUAAGUAAACUGUAUAUUGAUUAUCAAACACAAGCUGUAAUUGGAAAAGUUGAGAGGAAAAGCAUGAGAUCACAAAUUAGGGGGAAAAAAGAAAAGGGAUUUUUAAAUUUGGUGUAUUAAAUUCAUUGUCCAAGGGGGAAAAUGAAUAAUGUUUCAUUAGAUUCCUUAUAUGCAAAAGUAUUUAUUUUGAACAUGUGUCCUAAAAUAUAUGCACUAACUGAUGUGAUUAAAAUUGUCCAAGAAAUAAACUUGAGCAUAACAUACUUUGUGUGCACCACAGUAAGCUAUUCUGCAUUGAAGUGGUCUUUUAUAACUAAGGCCUGGACUUUGCUCCAACAGAGUCGUGGUCUUCUGAAUAGUGACUUAAGGAGUUUUGUUUGCUUAAGUCAGAUAAUAGCACAUUCACAGGGAAACAAAGAGAGUUGGUGGAUAGAAUUUUCUGACUAUUAAUUUUUCUUCCAUGAAAUUUUAUUAUGCCUUUGGCACUUUCUGCCACUCUUACAGCAUAUCACAAGAUAUCUGUUUAGCAGAAGAUUAUGUAGUUACUUUAAUUUUAAUAUAAAAGUAGCUUGUGAUACAUUACCAAGAGAUCUCUGAUUCUUUAGUAAGUUUGAGAACACCUAUUCUACAGAGAUGAUAGGUACUUAGAAAUGAAGACUUUAAAGUACAUUUUAAUCUAAUAUAGGCCAGUAAUUGGGGGAAGGGGCUUUGAGCAGUACAAUUUUAAGAUGAUUUUGAGGGUUGUAUUUCUUUAUCAUUUAAAAAUAUCCUAAAGUCAGUAAUUUAUAUGAAGGAAACUCAUUCAUUAUUGAAGGUAUUAAAAAUAGCCAUCAUCUGUAUUAGGUAGCAGUUUUGGAGGAUCAUCUUUUUCUUUUGCUAUAAAGCCCUAUUAAUGAAGAAUACUUCCAGUAGAGUUAAUAGCUGUAGCUUACCUAGUGUGUUAAUGAAGUGUGUUUAUUUAUGUGACUUGAUACCAGUAGUCAUAAUAGAGACUGAAGAGGUAUGCGUUAAGCACGCCUACUUCUAUGCAGUAAACAGGCUGCAGCUGCCUAGAUUAGAUUCUUAGAAAUGUCAUAUUUUGAAUUGUUUUAUUUCUUGUAGGGGAAGCUUUGUCCCACUUCAUUCAUUUGCAUGCCAUAGGAAUUACAUAUUGGUUAUCAUUACGUAUCUAACAAGAUUCAGAAACAAAAAUCUUGGACUUUUCACAUCCGAAAUAUGUCAGCUCUUAAUAAAUGUGUGGUGCUUAAGUCUACAUAUGGCAUCCAUAGUUGAUUUAGAGUAUGGAUAUGAGUGUGUUGACCAGUUAUCAGUAGGUGGACAAAUAUUUGGGCAUCUACAGAUGAGACUAUGCACUAAGUGUGGACUGAGUCCUAAAGAAGCUUAUAGUCAGGUGUUGUUUAAAACAUUAUCAGAAUUCUUAAACCCAAGGAAUUUAAUUUUAUUUGGUAUUUCUUAAGCCUAAAAUGAACCAAGAGAAAGAUGAUUUUAGAAAGUACUUGUAGUGAAAGAUGAUUUUAGAAAGUACUUGUAGUGCAUGUGUGGCUUCUGACUUUUGGGAUGGCACCAUUUUAUAAUAGUUUCAAAAUUUAGCUUUUGAAAUUCUCAACAUUUUAUGGUAGAAGACUUUGGACCUCAAGUAUAAAAUUAUACGUUUAUAAUUUUUUUAAAAUUUAAAUUAUAAGUAUUGUGAAUUCACACUCUCAGGCUAUUGUCUGACUUGAUCUACGUCUCAUAAAGCCUGUACCUGAGUGGAGUGGAAGGUGGAGUCUUAGGUUAAUCAGUUACUGACUCUACCCUCACCCUCUUUCAAUUGAGGUAAACUUUGCUGUUUUUCUUUUUCAUAAAGCAUUCUCAAAUUGUUGAGUUUAUUGCUGAAAAAAAUCUCCAUGACUUUACAGAUAGAAUUACAAACUAAAUGAUGUCUUGUAUUUAGAAGCAGAGUACAGACCUAACGAACUGUUAGAUUCUCCACCAUCACUUAGGGUUUGCCCAGAAGCAACACCAGAGAAUUACAGACAACGCGCUUUUGCUGAACUGUCCAUUUUGGUGGUUGUGUUUUUCAGUCAAAUAUAAGCAGGAUGGGCGAUAGAGAUAUAUUUAUAUAUAGAUACAUAUUCUAUAUAUCUAAUGCCUAAAUAUGGGUAUUAAAGGGAAAAUUUUUAAAGUCUGAUUAAAUCCAAUAUGACAUGAAAUUAAAUAUAUGGAUUAGUAAGGAAAAAUGUUAAAAAGUAGAGAGGAUACCAAGAAGAUUAAACUGGACUAGCCUUAUUUGCAAGUGAAGGAUCUGGUGCUGCUUUCAGAUGUUUAUCUUUUAUUUUUUUCCCUUAAGCUUUAAUCUUCGUCAUUGUCUUAAAGUCAACUGGUGUUUCUUGUUCAUUGACUUUGGUACGAUGGUGCUUUGCAAGGAUGUAUUUAUGUUAUAAUGGCCAACAUUUGGUCAGCCCUUGUCCACUUAUUCACUUCCCUCCUUUUGUAAAAUAAGUGCUUUAAUUAUAAACUGUAUAAAAAUACCUUGUAUAAACCCCUUUUUUGAUUAUUACAAUAAAUAAGCUGAAUUGUAACAAAUGAAAUUUGAUUUUUGUAAUAAAACAGUGGAAAAGU
rnacentral:lncRNA from 1 species